rnacentral:rRNA from 1 species
UACGGAGGAUCCGAGCGUUAUCCGGAUUUAUUGGGUUUAAAGGGUGCGCAGGCUGGAGAUUAAGUCGGCGGUGAAAUUUCGCAGCUCAACUGUAAAAGUGCCUUCGAAACUGGUUUCCUUGAGUGUAGAUGAAGUAGGCGGAAUUUGUGGUGUAGCGGUGAAAUGCAUAGAUAUCACGAGGAACUCCGAUUGCGCAGGCAGCUUACUAAACUACUACUGACGCUCAGGCACGAAGGCGUGGGGAUCAAACAGGAUUAGAUACCCU